CCAAUAGCGUAUAUUAAAGUUGUUGCAGUUAAAAAGCUCGUAGUUGGAUUUGUGGCGUACGGUGUGUUCCGGGCACUUGUUGUCUGAGUAACCUGCUGUUGCCAUCCUUGGGUGGAACCUGUGUGGCAUUAGGUUGUCGUGCAGGGGAUGCCCAUCAUUUACUGUGAAAAAAUUAGAGUGUUCAAAGCAGGCUUAUGCCGUUGAAUAUAUUAGCAUGGAAUAAUGAGAUAGGACUUUUUUGCUAUUUUGUUGGUUUGCGCAAAGAGGUAAUGAUUAAUAGGGACAGUUGGGGGUAUUCGUAUUCCAUUGUCAGAGGUGAAAUUCUUGGAUUUUUGGAAGACGAACUACUGCGAAAGCAUUUACCAAGGAUGUUUUCAUUAA
rnacentral:rRNA from 1 species